ACCCAUCAUUCCUCCGUUGCUGAGUCCGUGUGGUUGUGACAACCAUAUCAUAGUUCGCGCUACAGCGUGAGUCGUUGUCGCACCACCGCAUAAGCGUUGGCACUUGCCAAGCGCUGGCCGACUUGCACCGACUCGCACAACAAAGUACAACGAUUGACGCCAAGACAACUAAAACUCGAGCACUUUGCAGCGGAGUAAGUCGUAUUUGCCUACUUUUCUGCCAAUUUGGUUUUAUUUGGAAAAAAGUGAACUGUACAAUUACGUAGAAUGGAUGAAGAAGCAGUAAAUCUUCUGAAAAAUGUGGGGCUCAACGAUUUUAUCUAAAAAGAACUAGAUGCAGUAUCCAUUAAUCUCUUAAUGGAUUUUCCUGAAAAUUUGAAAGAUGUUCUUCCCAGUCUUAAGGAUCAAUUAAAAUUCAAAAAGGCUAUGUUAGACUCAAAGAACGUUUGUACAAUUACAUGUGUGCCCCAAGAGGAUCAAGAUAAUCGCAGCUUAUUUUUGACUGAGAUAC